AAAACUUUCAACAACGGAUCUCUUGGUUCUCGCAACGAUGAAGAACGCAGCGAAUUGCGAUACGUAUUGUGAAUUGCAGAUUUUCGUGAAUCAUCGAAUCUUUGAACGCACAUUGCACCCUGUGGUAUUCCACAGGGUAUGCCUGUUUGAGCGUC
rnacentral:rRNA from 1 species